rnacentral:tRNA from 1 species
AAGAGUAAUUAAAAAUAAAAUAAAGCUGCUAACUUUGUUUUGAGCAUCUUAAACUGUUCUACUCUUU